AGUGAACGCUGGCGGUGGCCUAACACAUGCAAGUCGCACGGCAGCACAGUAAGAGCUUGCUCUUACGGGUGGCGAGUGGCGGACGGGUGAGGAAUACAUCGGAAUCUACUUUUUCGUGGGGGAUAACGUAGGGAAACUUACGCUAAUACCGCAUACGACCUACGGGUGAAAGCAGGGGAUCUUCGGACCUUGCGCGAUUGAAUGAGCCGAUGUCGGAUUAGCUAGUUGGCGGGGUAAAGGCCCACCAAGGCGACGAUCCGUAGCUGGUCUGAGAGGAUGAUCAGCCACACUGGAACUGAGACACGGUCCAGACUCCUACGGGAGGCAGCAGUGGGGAAUAUUGGACAAUGGGCGCAAGCCUGAUCCAGCCAUACCGCGUGGGUGAAGAAGGCCUUCGGGUUGUAAAGCCCUUUUGUUGGGAAAGAAAAGCAGCAGGUUAAUACCCCGCUGUUCUGACGGUACCCAAAGAAUAAGCACCGGCUAACUUCGUG
rnacentral:rRNA from 1 species